rnacentral:rRNA from 1 species
UACAGGGGGUGCAAACGUUGCUCGGAAUCAUUGGGCGUAAAGCGCACGUAGGCGGUUCGUUAUGUCGGAUGUGAAAGCCCUUGGCUUAACCGAGGAAGUGCAUCCGAAACUGGCGAGCUAGAGUACGAAAGAGGAUCGCGGAAUUCCCGGUGUAGAGGUGAAAUUCGUAGAUAUCGGGAGGAACACCGGUGGCGAAGGCGGUCU